rnacentral:rRNA from 1 species
GGGUGUGUAAGCGCAGCGAUGUGUUGAGCUAACCGAUACUAAUGAACCGUGAGGCUUAACCUUACAACGCCGAAG